UUGAUCUGAAAUCAGGUGGG
rnacentral:rRNA from 1 species